rnacentral:rRNA from 1 species
GACGUAGGGGGCGAGCGUUGUCCGGAUUUAUUGGGCGUAAAGCGUGCGCAGGCGGUUUUGCAAGACAGAGGUGAAAUCCCCGGGCUUAACCUGGGAAUGGCCUUUGUGACUGCACGGCUAGAGUGUGUCAGAGGGGGGUAGAAUUCCACGUGUAGCAGUGAAAUGCGUAGAGAUGUGGAGGAAUACCGAUGGCGAAGGCAGCCCCCUGGGAUAACACUGACGCUCAUGCACGAAAGCGUGGGGAGCAAACAGG